rnacentral:rRNA from 1 species
AUUGAACGCUGGCGGCAGGCCUAACACAUGCAAGUCGAACGGAGUGGCGGACGGGUGAGUAAUGUCUGGGAAACUGCCUGAUGGAGGGGGAUAACUACUGGAAACGGGCGCUAAUACCGCAUACUAUCAGAUGAGCCUAGGUCGGCUUAGCUAGUUGGUGGGGUAAAGGCCUACCAAGGCGCCGAUCCGUAACUGGUCUGAGAGGAUGGUCAGUCACACUUGAACUGAGACACUGUCAAGACGCCUACGGGAGGCAGCAGUGGGGAAUAUUGGACAAUGGGCGAAAGCCUGAUCCAGCCAUGCCGGGUGUGUGAAGAAGGUCUUCGGAUUGUAAAGCACUUUAAGUUGUGAGGCGUUACCAACAGAAGAAGCACCGGCUAAAUUCGUGCCAGCAGCCGCGGUAAUAC